GGGUUGUGAGGUUAAGCGACUAAGCGUACACGGUGGAUGCCCUGGCAGUCAGAGGCGAUGAAGGACGUGCUAAUCUGCGAUAAGCGUCGGUAAGGUGAUAUGAACCGUUAUAACCGGCGAUUUCCGAAUGGGGAAACCCAGUGUGUUUCGACACACUAUCAUUAACUGAAUCCAUAGGUUAAUGAGGCGAACCGGGGGAACUGAAACAUCUAAGUACCCCGAGGAAAAGAAAUCAACCGAGAUUCCCCCAGUAGCGGCGAGCGAACGGGGAGCAGCCCAGAGCCUGAAUCAGUAUGUGUGUUAGUGGAAGCGUCUGGAAAGGCGCGCGAUACAGGGUGACAGCCCCGUACACAAAAAUGCACAUGCUGUGAGCUCGAUGAGUAGGGCGGGACACGUGGUAUCCUGUCUGAAUAUGGGGGGACCAUCCUCCAAGGCUAAAUACUCCUGACUGACCGAUAGUGAACCAGUACCGUGAGGGAAAGGCGAAAAGAACCCCGGCGAGGGGAGUGAAAAAGAACCUGAAACCGUGUACGUACAAGCAGUGGGAGCACGCUUAGGCGUGUGACUGCGUACCUUUUGUAUAAUGGGUCAGCGACUUAUAUUCUGUAGCAAGGUUAACCGAAUAGGGGAGCCGAAGGGAAACCGAGUCUUAACUGGGCGUUAAGUUGCAGGGUAUAGACCCGAAACCCGGUGAUCUAGCCAUGGGCAGGUUGAAGGUUGGGUAACACUAACUGGAGGACCGAACCGACUAAUGUUGAAAAAUUAGCGGAUGACUUGUGGCUGGGGGUGAAAGGCCAAUCAAACCGGGAGAUAGCUGGUUCUCCCCGAAAGCUAUUUAGGUAGCGCCUCGUGAAUUCAUCUCCGGGGGUAGAGCACUGUUUCGGCAAGGGGGUCAUCCCGACUUACCAACCCGAUGCAAACUGCGAAUACCGGAGAAUGUUAUCACGGGAGACACACGGCGGGUGCUAACGUCCGUCGUGAAGAGGGAAACAACCCAGACCGCCAGCUAAGGUCCCAAAGUCAUGGUUAAGUGGGAAACGAUGUGGGAAGGCCCAGACAGCCAGGAUGUUGGCUUAGAAGCAGCCAUCAUUUAAAGAAAGCGUAAUAGCUCACUGGUCGAGUCGGCCUGCGCGGAAGAUGUAACGGGGCUAAACCAUGCACCGAAGCUGCGGCAGCGACGCUGAUGCGUUGUUGGGUAGGGGAGCGUUCUGUAAGCCUGCGAAGGUGUGCUGUGAGGCAUGCUGGAGGUAUCAGAAGUGCGAAUGCUG
rnacentral:rRNA from 1 species